rnacentral:rRNA from 1 species
GAUGAACGCUGGCGGCGUGCUUAACACAUGCAAGUCGAACGGAAAGGCCCAAGCUUGCUUGGGUACUCGAGUGGCGAACGGGUGAGUAACACGUGGGUGAUCUGCCCUGCACUUCGGGAUAAGCCUGGGAAACUGGGGCUAAUACCGGAUAGGACCACUUCUUGGAUGUUGUGGUGGAAAGUUUUUUCGGUGUGGGAUGAGCUCGCGGCCUAUCAGCUUGUUGGUGGGGUAAUGGCCUACCAAGGCGUCGUCGGGUAGCCGGCCUGAGAGGGUGUACGGCCACAUUUGGACUGAGAUAAGGCCCAGACUCCUACCGGAGGCCGCAGUGGGGAAAAUUGGCCCAUGGGCGCAAGCCUGAUGCAGCGACGCCGCGUGGGGGAAGACCGGCUUUGGGGUGUAAAAUCCUUUCGCUAGGGACGAAGCGUUUUGUGACGGUAACUGGAGAAGAAGCAUCGGCUAACUACGUG